rnacentral:pre_miRNA from 1 species
AGCUUUUCGAAUCCGUACUGAGAUUUCUUCAGACACCAACUCACUACGGCUGAUCAGACUUCCAAGAUAAGUGAAGUU